rnacentral:rRNA from 1 species
AGCGAACGCUGGCGGCAGGCCUAACACAUGCAAGUCGAACGGAUCCUUCGGGAUUAGUGGCGGACGGGUGAGUAACACGUGGGAACGUGCCCUUUGGUUCGGAACAACUCAGGGAAACUUGAGCUAAUACCGGAUGUGCCCUUCGGGGGAAAGAUUUAUCGCCAUUGGAGCGGCCCGCGUCUGAUUAGCUAGUUGGUGAGGUAAAGGCUCACCAAGGCGACGAUCAGUAGCUGGUCUGAGAGGAUGAUCAGCCACAUUGGGACUGAGACACGGCCCAAACUCCUACGGGAGGCAGCAGUGGGGAAUCUUGCGCAAUGGGCGAGAGCCUGACGCAGCCAUGCCGCGUGAAUGAUGAAGGUCUUAGGAUUGUAAAAUUCUUUCACCGGGGACGAUAAUGGCGGUACCCGGAGAAGAAGCCCCGGCUAACUUCGUGCCAGCCGCCGCAGUAA